rnacentral:tRNA from 1 species
GUGCCCGUAGCUCAGUUGGAUAGAGCAGCAGCCUUCUAAGCUGUAGGUCGGGGGUUCAAUUCCCUCCGGGCACA